AAUGGCCUACCAAGGCGACGACGGGUAGCCGGCCUGAGAGGGUGACCGGCCACACUGGGACUGAGACACGGCCCAGACUCCUACGGGAGGCAGCAGUGGGGAAUAUUGCACAAUGGGCGCAAGCCUGAUGCAGCGACGCCGCGUGAGGGAUGACGGCCUUCGGGUUGUAAACCUCUUUCAGUAGGGAAGAAGCGAAAGUGACGGUACCUGCAGAAGAAGCGCCGGCUAACUACGUGCCAGCAGCCGCGGUAAUACGUAGGGCGCAAGCGUUAUCCGGAAUUAUUGGGCGUAAAGAGCUCGUAGGCGGUUUGUCGCGUCUGCUGUGAAAGACCGGGGCUCAACUCCGGUUCUGCAGUGGGUACGGGCAGACUAGAGUGCAGUAGAGGGAGACUGGAAUUCCUGGUGUAGCGGUGAAAUGCGCAGAUAUCAGGAGGAACACCGAUGGCGAAGGCAGGUCUCUGGGCUGUAACUGACGCUGAGGAGCGAAAGCAUGGGGAGCGAACAGGAUUAGAUACCCUGGUAGUCCAUGCCGUAAACGUUGGGCACUAGGUGUGGGGGACAUUCCACGUUUUCCGCGCCGUAGCUAACGCAUUAAGUGCCCCGCCUGGGGAGUACGGCCGCAAGGCUAAAACUCAAAGGAAUUGACGGGGGCCCGCACAAGCGGCGGAGCAUGCGGAUUAAUUCGAUGCAACGCGAAGAACCUUACCAAGGCUUGACAUGAACCGGUAAUACCUGGAAACAGGUGCCCCGCUUGCGGUCGGUUUACAGGUGGUGCAUGGUUGUCGUCAGCUCGUGUCGUGAGAUGUUGGGUUAAGUCCCGCAACGAGCGCAACCCUCGUUCUAUGUUGCCAGCGGUUCGGCCGGGGACUCAUAGGAGACUGCCGGGGUCAACUCGGAGGAAGGUGGGGACGACGUCAAAUCAUCAUGGGGGGUGGGGGUCUUGGGCUUCACGCAUGCUACAAUGGCCGGUACAAAGGGUUGCGAUACUGUGAGGUGGAGCUAAUCCCAAAAAGCCGGUCUCAGUUCGGAUUGGGGUCUGCAACUCGACCCC
rnacentral:rRNA from 1 species